rnacentral:ncRNA from 2 species
UGAAAAUGUAAGUGUUCGGGUGCCCCGUGCUUAAGAGCGGGGAGAAUAGGGAAGCGGGUGAGAAUCCCGCGCGGUCGCGCCACUGUGAAGAAGGAAAAAGUAAAAAGGUAAAAGGCAAAAGUAAGGAAGGCGUUCAACCUUCUUCACUUUUGCCUUUUACCUUUUGCCUUUUUACUUUCUAAGCCAGGAGACCUGCCCAUACACAUUUGCAACC